UUUCGAUGCAUCGCCACUAGCCGCCGUCCCGGCCCGACACGGCGACGCCCAUCUCAUGGAGCCGCGGCGACAAGACAACGAGUGCAGGCGGCAGGCUGCGCAGCGCCUCCACCGUUCGCGGCCGUCGCAGUGCCUUUGACUUCCGUUGUGGUGCCUCCGCGGCUCCGCCGUCCACCGGGUGUCAUGGCGCUGCCGUACGCCGAAGGGCCACCGUCGUCUGCCUCCCGUCGUGGUGCCGCCAUCUGACGCAGCCCCUUCACCGGCAGCCGGGCGCCAGAGCUCCGCAACCAGGCAAGCGCAGCCGCACAUCCCUCACUGCCUAGUACUUUUCGUUCUUCUACUCCGCUCCACUCUCUUUCCAAUCCAGGCUUAUCUAAAAUUUGUUCCCCUUUGUUAUUUUCUUGGUACAAGACUACUAGUGCCAUAUCUUGUUAGAUGCGAUGUAUUUUGAUGGAUGCUUGAGUGGUAAUGCAUCUAGAUAUCCAGCAACUAGCAGUUCUAAUGGUUGUAUGGCUGCUAAUGCGGCUGGGCAUUGGAGGAGAUAGCUUUGAGUUGUUUCAUGGUUAUGUUGGACGACUGAUUUUCUUAAGCAAACUGACCUUGAGAGAGUCCAGAAUAUGUUGGUGUAUUGGACCCACUAUUUUUACACUUAUUUAAUUUGCUAUA
rnacentral:sRNA from 1 species